AGGUUUUUUUUUUGGUCCCCCCCGACCCCCGGCUUGACACUGCAGACACAUGCAAGGCACACAUUGUAAUUAGCGAGGCAUUUUAAAGACAGGGCGGCCUCAGCUGACGCACAAACAUUAAAAGGUGCGUUCACAUGCACACCGGAAAAAGAAGAUAACGCCCUCCGCCACCUCGCUUUUUUUUUUUUUUCCUAGAAGGGUUCGUGUUGAGGAGUCGGCCCCUCCUCGGGGGCUGUAGAAAAGGCACGGAGGAAGGAAAUCGCAGCCAUACGGGCUACGCUCCCCCGGCUGAAUUUUAUCUGGGGGGGGGGGAGAAAAAAAAGUAAAGUGCUCCUCCCUCGCUUCGUAUGUCAGUCCUUGAGGAGAGCUGGCACGGCGCGGCAGGCUUGUGCCUCGCAGACAAAGAUGAGGGCAGAUACACGGCUGACUGGAAACGACAGGGGAAUGUCUUUGAAGUACCCAGAGAGGAACCUGCCUCACCAGUAUCAGCAUGUCCUGGCUCCAAGAUUCAACCCGACAAGGACGGCUGCAUAAAGAGUCACAGAACGUUCCCAGUGUGUGUAAGUUAGGUUUGCAGGGAGAGUCCAAGGUUUGCAGGGAGAGUCCAAACAACACGCACGGUGCCAUGACAAGAAAGGUGAGCCUGACGAUGUCACGACCACGUGACCCCCGCCACCCCCCCUACCCCGGGGUGACAACCUUCUUCUACCCUGAGGACAAGGUCCCGAGUGUUCAGCAUGUGGCCUUCAUUUGGGACGUGCUCUGUGGUAAAACACCAAGUUUUAUGUUUUUAUCACGAGUCAAACAACACUAAAUCCAUCUUUCCCCUGCUAACUGCUUCAAAAGUACCGUUUUCUGUUUGUGCAAUAAAGAUGCCAACACUUUUGUGUCAUUCCUUUCAACUUUAAGCCAGGGAGCGGUAAAAAAAAACUCUAUUUGUGUGUAUUGUGAAAACAAAACAUCAAAAAAUAUGUAUCUGUAAAUGUGCAUCGCCUUAGGAUGAGAAAUGUGAUUGGAAACUUCGCCAAAUGUUGAAAAGGCCAUCAUUUCCACACGUGCAGUCAUGGUCAAACGUUUACAUACACUAGAAAGUUCUGUGGUCACAUGAAAUUAAAUUUGAGGUAUUUGACCACCAUACCCAGCAAUAAGUUUUGGAGGAGAUAGAAAGGUAAGGCCUUUAAUCCUAGGAACACCAGCCCUACUGUCAGGCAUGGUGGUGGUAGUAUUAUGCUUUGGGUCUGUUUUUCUGCCAAUGGAACUGGUGCUUUACAGAGAGAAAAUUGCCUCCAAAUUCUUCAAGAAAAGCUAAAAUCAUCAGCCCGGAGGUUGGGUUUUGGGCGCAGUUGGGUGUUCCAACAGGACAAUGACCCCAAACACACGUCAAAAGUGGUAAAUGUUAAUAUUUGGUUACAUGUCCCUUG